GUAAUCAAAUAAUUAUAAUCCUCUCAAUCCUCAAACCCUUCUUUUAUCAAAGUGAACCCAAGAGAUUCUUGACUCAAUUGAAAUAAUACCUUCUUCUACUUCAAUUUCAAGAAUGAUUAACCUUAAAUAAAAAAACAAGCAAAAGAAACAAAUCAAGGCAUUAGAUCCAAUGUGAGUAUUUUAGUGAAAACUUUCAACUAAAUUAGACAUACAACCCAAAAGUAAAAAAUUCAACAAUAAAAAGGAAAAUAAACUUUGACACUCAAGGAAAACUAAUGAAAUGAUGCUACGCAUAUACGUAAUACGUCUCUUUCCCCCCGUUAUUUU
rnacentral:lncRNA from 1 species